CAAGCCCUCAGUCAAAACAGUCAUUUUGAAAGGGGUCAUUUUGUCCUCAGCCUUUUGAUCCACUUGCUGAUCCCCCACCCUGACUUUCCCAGUGCCCAGUCUGGAAAGAAUGGCUGCCCCAAGCAGCCCGGGUAAGAAAAGAAGUGUUCCUUCUUCCUUGUGAGAGAUCAGACUCUCAAGUGCAAACUGGAGUGGGCAUGUUAAGGGGGAGCCCCCUCACUGACCAGCAUCCCAGCCAGCCUCCAGGCCCUGAGCUCCCUGUUGUCAUAGUACAGGAGAGUGAUCCUGCAGCCACAAAGAGAAGGAAGCUCCUGCAUUCUCAGCUACCCCUUGGCACAUAACUGCUUAGGGGUCCUGUGUGAUGUCUAUAGAGACACCGAAUGUGGAUUGUUGUGUGUUCUGUCCACUGUCUUGUGAGGGGCAAGGAAGCACCACUGAUAUCUCUGCCUCGGUGGCUCCCGCACAUCUCGCAUGUGAGCUCUUAGGGUAGCAGUAGGAGGUAAAAGGCUUCCCAUCAUGUUACAUCCCUGCCGCUGUACACACUCCGCAUCAGCUGGACACAACUGUGGUGCCUGAGCACAGGGCCCCCACCCAGGACCAGGCCUGUAUGCCGUAUUACGACCCCAGGAUGAACAAACCACCCAUGCCAAACACACCUCUGGCUACUGCCUGCAGGAAGUUUCUCUGGGGCAUGAGUGCCCUGCUGGUGUGCAGGCCUUGCUUCAAGGGCUCUUGCUGCUGUCCGUGGAGCUUGUUUUCACACAGCCCUUUCAGAGUCCCGAAAGCCUGUGGGCUGUGCAGUCUGAGGACAGAGCCUGUGGAGGUCUGGGUACCCAGACUGCUCAACCUGGAAAUGGGCUCUGGGUGAGGGGAAUCGUGAGGUUCACACAAUGCACUGGACCCUGAUGCUCAAUGUGAGCUACAACUUGUGUUUUCCCACAGCCCGAGAUCUCACGAGGCAGACCCCCCCACCCCAUCCCUCAGGAUUCCCCAUGCAGCUCCCCUGCCAACUGCCUGUUGUCAAGUCUCUGCAGCCCUGAGGUGCCCUGUGGCCAGCAAGGUGAUCCUGGUGUUUCCUCCUGUGUACUCAGGGCCAGGGCCAGGGCUACAACAACUGGCCCCUGGCACACAGCACAGCACCCUACAGUGGAGCAGCGGUAUUUUGGCACACAGAGGUUAGAGCCCACUUGCCUCCCCUAUCUCCAGCCUGUCCUUCCUGCCUGCCGGGAGCUGCGUCUGAGCCUCCAUCCCCCCCAUCCAUCUACUGAGCUGCCCUCUGGAACCUGCACUCACCCUGAAGCCAGCCAGAUGAUGCUAAGCCCUCUCUCACUAUGGAAUGGCCUCUCCCCAUCCCUGCCUGAUUAGAUGUUCAGCCUAAAUGCCCCUGAUUCAGCAAUGUGAAGCAUCUUCAAAGGUCACCAGGAUGAGCUGUUUGAAGCCACGUCUACUAGACAUGGAAUCAACUUAUUACCAGAAAUGCUAGUGACAGAAUUUCCAAUAAAACUUGGAUUUAAUUUGUCAUUGAUAAAAACUCACAUAAUUAGCUAUUUAAAGCUCUCUCUCUCUCUCUCUCUCUCUCUCUCUCUGUGUGUGUGUGUGUGUGUGUGUAUGUGUGUGUGUGUAUGUGUGUGUGUGUGUGUGUUUACAUUGUCAAGCAAAAGCCCUUAUUAUUAAAGCCUGUCAUAUAUUUUGAAAACACAUCUAUGUUGGUUGCUCUGAGCAUUAAAAAGAAGAGGCAUAUAACUGAUGGAAAAAAAAUGGUUUCAUGCCAAAGUCCUCUUGGAGGAUCACAGAAUUCAAAUGUUUUGUUAACUACCCUGUAAUUUGUUGCAAAAGAUAAGUCAGUAUUGAAAACAAAAUUCCUUAUAAUUUAAAAGACAAAGAAUAGUCCUCGUUUGACAUUGGCCAAGAAAUGGAGACACAAUUAGAGAAUAUUCUGUAAGUCAAUAUUCUGUUCAUACAUACAUUUAUAUGUGUAGAGAUAAGUAAUAUAUAUUUUGUUUUCCUUCUC